rnacentral:rRNA from 1 species
GUANGGUAACGGCCUACCAAGGCCACGAUCAGUAGAUGGUCUGAGAGGACGACCAGCCACACUGGGACUGAGACACGGCCCAGACUCCUACGGGAGGCAGCAGUGGGGAAUUUUGGACAAUGGGCGGAAGCCUGAUCCAGCAAUGCCGCGUGAGUGAAGAAGGCCUUCGGGUUGUAAAGCUCUUUCAGUCGAGAAGAAAAGGUUGCGACUAAUAAUCGCAACUUAUGACGGUAUCGACAGAAGAAGCACCGGCUAACUACGUGCCAGCAGCCGCGGUAAUACGUAGGGUGCGAGCGUUAAUCGGAAUUACUGGGCGUAAAGGGUGCGCAGGCGGCUCUGUAAGUCAGAUGUGAAAUCCCCGGGCUUAACCUGGGAAUUGCGUUUGAAACUACAAAGCUAGAGU